UUUGAGAUAAUCCUUUAUUGUUAGCUUGGUCAAUUUAAUUUGGAAAGAAACAGAUUAUUAGAAAUGAGUUACAUGUUCUGGCUCAUAACAAUGAAUCAUAAGGAUGCAAUGUGGAUAUUGUUUAGAGCUGAUUUGUUAGCUAAAGCAUGGAGAAGCAGAAUGUGAGGGCUUAGGGACGGGGAACAGACGACAGAAUGUGAGGGCUUAGGGACGGGGAACAGACGACAGAAUGUGAGGGCUUGGGGACGGGGAACAGACGACAGAAUGUGAGGGCUUGGGGAUGGGGAUCAAGACGACAGAAUGUGAGGUUCUUGGGGACGGGGAACAGACGACAGAAUGUGAGGUUCUUGGGGACGGGGAACAGACGACAGAAUGUGAGGUUCUUGGGGACGGGGAACAGACGACAGAAUGUGAGGUUCUUGGGGACGGGGAACAGACGACAGAAUGUGAGGUUCUUGGGGACGGGGAACAGACGACAGAAUGUGAGGUUCUUGGGGACGGGGAACAGACGACAGAAUGUGAGGUUCUUGGGGACGGGGAACAGACGACAGAAUGUGAGGUUCUUGGGGACGGGGAACAGACGACAGAAUGUGAGGUUCUUGGGGACGGGGAACAGACGACAGAAUGUGAGGUUCUUGGGGACGGGGAACAGACGACAGAAUGUGAGGUUCUUGGGGACGGGGAACAGACGACAGAAUGUGAGGUUCUUGGGGACGGGGAACAGACGACAGAAUGUGAGGUUCUUGGGGACGGGGAACAGAUGACAGAAUGUGAGCUCCUUUCUCCAUCCUUUC